rnacentral:rRNA from 1 species
AGUGAACGCUGGCGGUAGGCCUAACACAUGCAAGUCGAACGGCAGCACAGUAAGAGCUUGCUCUUACGGGUGGCGAGUGGCGGACGGGUGAGGAAUACAUCGGAAUCUACUUUUUCGUGGGGGAUAACGUGGGGAAACUUACGCUAAUACCGCAUACGACCUACGGGUGAAAGCAGGGGAUCUUCGGACCUUGCGCGAUUGAAUGAGCCGAUGUCGGAUUAGCUAGUUGGCGGGGUAAAGGCCCACCAAGGCGACGAUCCGUAGCUGGUCUGAGAGGAUGAUCCGCCACACUGGAACUGAGACACGGUCCAGACUCCGACGGGAGGCAGCAGUGGGGAAUAUUGGACAAUGGGCGCAAGCCUGAUCCAGCCAUACCGCGUGGGUGAAGAAGGCCUUCGGGUUGUAAAGCCCUUUUGUUGGGAAAGAAAAGCAGCAGGUUAAUACCCCGCUGUUCUGACGGUACCCAAAGAAUAAGCACCGGCUAACUUCGUG